rnacentral:rRNA from 1 species
CGCUGGCGGCGUGCCGUAACACAUGCAAGUCGAGCGGGGAUAGGGGCUUCGGCCCUAUUCUAGCGGCGGACGGGUGAGUAACGCGUGAACAAUCUGUCCUGUACAGGGGGAUAACACUUGGAAACAGGUGCUAAUACCGCAUAAGGCCCACGGCCCGGCAUCGGGGCAGGGGGAAAAGGGGCAACUCGGUAUAGGGUGAGUUCGCGUCCCAUUAGCUGGUUGGCGGGGUAAAGGCCCACCAAGGCAACGAUGGGUAGCCGACCUGAGAGGGUGAUCGGCCACACUGGAACUGAGAAACGGUCCAGACUCCUACGGGAGGCAGCAGUGGGGAAUAUUGGGCAAUGGGGGAAACCCUUGACCCAGCAACGCCGCGUGAGGGAAGAAGGCUUUCGGGUCGUAAACCUCUGUCCCAUGGGAAGAGCAGAAGACGGUACCAUGGGAGGAAGCCCCGGCUAACUACGUGCCAGCAGCCGC